GUGGGGAAUUUUCCGCAAUGGGCGAAAGCCUGACGGAGCAAUACCGCGUGAGGGAGGAAGGCUCUUGGGUUGUAAACCUCUUUUCUUAGGGAAGAAUAAAUGACGGUACCUAAGGAAUAAGCAUCGGCUAACUCCGUGCCAGCAGCCGCGGUAAUACGGAGGAUGCAAGCGUUAUCCGGAAUGAUUGGGCGUAAAGGGUCCGCAGGUGGCACUACAAGUCUGCUGUCAAAGGCUGGGGCUUAACUCCAGAAAGGCAGUGGAAACUGAAGAGCUAGAGUGCGAUAGGGGCAGAGGGAAUUCCCAGUGUAGCGGUGAAAUGCGUAGAGAUUGGGAAGAACACCAGUGGCGAAAGCGCUCUGCUAGGUCGUAACUGACACUGAGGGACGAAAGCUAGGGGAGCGAAUGGGAUUAGAUACCCCGGUAGUCC
rnacentral:rRNA from 1 species